rnacentral:rRNA from 1 species
GACGAUCGCUGGCGGCGUGCUUAACACAUGCAAGUCGAACGAAGUGGCGAACGGGUGAGUAAUACGUGAGUAACCUGCCCUCCUUUUUGGGAUAAGCCUUGGAAACGGUGUCUAAUACCGAAUAAAGGGGGAUGGGCUCGCGGCCUAUCAGCUUGUUGGUGGGGUGAUGGCCUGCCAAGGCGGUGACGGGUAGCCGGCCUGAGAGGGUGACCGGCCGCAUAGGGACUAAAAUACGGCGCAGACGACUACGCGGGACAGGGGUGGGGAAUAUGGGACAAUGAGCGAGAGCCUGAUGCAGCGACACCGAGUGGGGGAUGAAAAAUUUCGGGUUGUAAGCCUCUUACGCUAUCGAGCGGGUAGGUGGGGAAGAAGCGCCGGCUACCUACGUGGCAGCAGCCGCGGUAAUAA